GGUUUUAGGUUGGGGCGACCAAGGAGUACAACAAAACCUCCACAAUGAACGGGACUUCUCCCUCAUCUAAGAGCUACACCUCUAAGAAUUAAAAUAUUAACAUAAAAUGAUCCAUUUUUUGAUCAAUGAACCAAGUUACCCUGGGGAUAACAGCGCAAUCCAUUUCAAGAGCCCCUAUCGACAAAUGGGUUUACGACCUCGAUGUUGGAUCAGGGUAUCCUAGUGGUGCAGCAGCUACUAAAGGUUCGUUUGUUCAACGAUU
rnacentral:rRNA from 1 species